AUGGCAGUGAACCAGAGCCACACCGAGAACCGCAGGGGGGUCGCCAUCCCUUAUGGUGAAAGUCUCUUGAAGCAGUGCCCGGACGUGGAGCUGUCCUUCCCGCGACAGCCGCAGGGCUCCCACCUCUUCGGCGGUACAAAGAGGGGAACGCUGUUUCUCACUUCAUACCGGGUGAUUUUCGUGACAGCGCACGCAGUCAGUGACCCCAUGCUGUCGUUCAUGAUGCCUUUUGACCUGAUGAAGAACUGCACGGUGGAGCAACCAGUGUUCGGGGCGAACUACAUCCUGGGGACCGUCGAGGCAGCCCCGGAGGGUGGCUGGGAAGGACAGGCGACUUUUAAGUUAGUCUUCAGGAAAGGCGGUGCGGUCCACUUCGCCCAGCUGAUGAUGGAAGCCGCCUCUGCCGCUGCCCGGGGAGCUCCACUUGGAACCGAUUACUGGUUCGGGCCUCUAAGGAUUUACAUGGUUACCGGGGAGGGAGGCCUGUGCACCCCAGAGACACCUUGUCAAGCUAUUGCCUAUGGUCUCCCACCUGUAGGAUACGGAGCAGCCCCUGUGGGAUAUGGAGCCCCACCUGCUGGCUACGGAGCCCCGCCUCCCGGUUACGGAGCCCCGCCUCCCAGUUACGGAGCCCCGCCUCCUGGUUAUGGAGCCCCGCCUCCCAGUUACGGAGCCCCGCCUCCCAGCUAUGGAACCCCGCCAGGGGCAUACGGAGGCCCGCCUCCCAGAUACGAAACCCCGCCCCCGAGAUACGGAGCUCAACCUGGAGGACCCAAGUCCCCACCUCCCAGAUACGAGGCCCCGCCGAAUGGAUUUAGAGCCCCCACUUCUGGACGGGAAACCCCACCUUCCGGGUCUGGGGUUGGGCGUCCUUCUGUGGCAGCCCAGAGUCCUGGAUAUGGGGCUUCUUCAUCUUCUCAGGCCCAUUCUUCCAACAUGUAAACCUUGAAGAUUCACCAAGCAAAAUAGCGCCCUAAAAUUGAAGUCAAGCUAAAGAGGCCUUAGGUUAGAGUCAUCGGUUGACCCUUGAUGGAACGAGCAAGUGACCAGUGCUCCCGUGCCAAGGACGGCUUUCUCAAGGAGGCUAGGUCUCCUUCCUGAAUAUGUCCUGAGGAGAAGAGAGCAGAUGAUGUACCUGGAAGAGGCUUGGGUCACUGUUUUUGCAGCUCAAUUAAAGUCUGCUGUCCCACACUUGCGCAUCGCCCUUGCUCUCUGUUUCUGAGGGGACCUACGUCAGCCACCACUUUGCGUGGAUCCCUAUUGCGCCACCUCCCUCACAGGGCAACUGCCUGCUGGCUGGGCUCUUAACUUCCUGGCUGGGCUCUGUGGUUUCCUGGUUCAUGCUGAUGAUUGUCUUGUUCCGGAGAAGAUGGACUUUGUUUUUGUUUUUUAUGGUACUAUGAAUUGAACCCAGGGUCUUUACA